rnacentral:rRNA from 1 species
AACGAACGCUGGCGGCAUGCCUAACACAUGCAAGUCGAACGAAGGCUUCGGCCUUAGUGGCGCACGGGUGAGUAACGCGUGGGAAACUGCCUAUUGGUGGGGAAUAACGACGGGAAACUGUCGCUAAUACCGCAUAAGCCCUUCGGGGGAAAGAUUUAUCGCCGAUAGAUGUGCCCGCGUCCGAUUAGCUAGUUGGUGAGGUAAUGGCUCACCAAGGCGACGACCGGUAGCUGGUCUGAGAGGAUGAUCAGCCACACUGGGACUGAGACACGGCCCAGACUCCUACGGGAGGCAGCAGUGGGGAAUAUUGGACAAUGGGCGAAAGCCUGAUCCAGCAAUGCCGCGUGAGUGAUGCAGGCCUUAGGGUUGUAAAGCUCUUUCGGGUGGGACGAUGAUGACGGUACCACCAGAAGAAGCCCCGGCUAACUUCGUGCCAGCCGCCGCGGUAA